GAUGAACGCUGGCGGCGUGCUUAACACAUGCAAGUCGAACGGUGAAGGCGGAGCUUGCUCUGCUGGAUCAGUGGCGAACGGGUGAGUAACACGUGAGCAAUCUGCCCCUGACUCUGGGAUAAGCGCUGGAAACGGCGUCUAAUACUGGAUACGAGCUGCGAAGGCAUCUUCAGCAGCUGGAAAGAACUUCGGUCAGGGAUGAGCUCGCGGCAUAUCAGCUUGUUGGUGAGGUAACGGCUCACCAAGGCGUCGACGGGUAGCCGGCCUGAGAGGGUGACCGGCCACACUGGGACUGAGACACGGCCCAGACUCCUACGGGAGGCAGCAGUGGGGAAUAUUGCACAAUGGGCGAAAGCCUGAUGCAGCAACGCCGCGUGAGGGACGACGGCCUUCGGGUUGUAAACCUCUUUUAGCAGGGAAGAAGCGAAAGUGACGGUACCUGCAGAAAAAGCGCCGGCUAACUACGUG
rnacentral:rRNA from 1 species